UACGAAGGGUGCAAGCGUUACUCGGAAUUACUGGGCGUAAAGGGUGCGUAGGUGGUUUGUUAAGUCUGCUGUGAAAUCCCCGGGCUCAACCUGGGAAUGGCAGUGGAUACUGGCAAGCUAGAGUGCGGUAGAGGGUAGUGGAAUUCCCGGUGUAGCAGUGAAAUGCGUAGAGAUCGGGAGGAACACCAGUGGCGAAGGCGGCUACCUGGACCAGCACUGACACUGAAGCACGAAAGCGUGGGGGAGCAAACAGG
rnacentral:rRNA from 1 species